AUAUUUUUAAAUCUUGGCGCGAGCAUGCAUUUAGGUUGUCAUGGUGACGCGCGCUCACACAACCGCACGUCAUGGCACUGCGCUGAACUCUGUCCAGACUGUGAAUGUGGUAUUAUCUUCGCGAUCUGUAGGCACUACGGAAACGAAAGGCGCAUAAUCAUAACUCAAAUAAUCUCCGCCUAAAUACAGAACGGUAUUUUCUGAUGACGGGCAAAAACUUAGCCUCAAAACGUAGCUGUCUGUCACACACAGCUUGUUGCAUGCUGAUCCAUACACGAGAGCCUAACGGAGAACAUUUAAGCUGUGCUCCUCACCUGAGCAGAAUUGAAGGUCGGUUGUUGCUGACUACAGAAAGAUUCUUAUAUGGAGGCAUGUAAAAGCAAGGAAAGUGAAACUUCAGCUAGACCUUGAGUUCAGUUUACAAUAUGAAGAUCCUGAUAUCAACAUCUGAUCUGAUCAACACCUGAUUUUCAUCUGAGCUGCAGAGUACCAACAUGUUACAAAUGAGAAUUUUCCCCACAAAUUCUUUGGACAACCGCACCACCACCUAUUUCAUUUGAUGACAAUUUUAAGGCAAACAGCAUCCAAAACUGACAAGACAGCAGAUACCCUGGCUAAUCUUUUGAAGGUUUAUGAUGAGCAGGAACUGCAUGAUGUCAGUUCAUGAUGGACCACUGUUAUCAGAGGUCUUUUGGUCUUGCUGCGUGAGCGUGACUGGGGAUUCUUUAGGACCACCCUGAUUAAUAAUCCUGAAGCGCUGACUGAAGAUGCUUUAUUGGCCCUGCAGUCACUGAGGGUCUCUGCUGUCCUGAAGAAUGAAUUGGACACCACCCACAGCACACUUCCAGACCUUUUUUGUCUUGUUUGGAUUUUAAUGUAUGCUCUUCACAUAGUAUAUAGUAAAGGACUUUGAACUUGUACAAAAAGUUUUGCUUGGCAUGGAUGAUAGAAAAUAGAAAGUCGAUUAGCAUAGAAUCCUUAAAGAAUGAGUUGAUGUAGAGCCUUUUUUUGUACUCAAUAAAGACUGUCACUGGGGUAGUAACUUCAAAACAUGU